GAUGAACGCUAGCGACAGGCUUAACACAUGCAAGUCGAGGGGCAGCAGGGGAGUAGCAAUACUCCCGCUGGCGACCGGCGCACGGGUGAGUAACACGUAUGCAACCUGCCCUUGUCAGGGGGAUAAGCGGAAGAAAUUCCGUCUAAUACCGCAUAAUGCUGCGGGGAGACAUCUCCCUGCAGCCAAAGAUUUAUCGGACAAGGAUGGGCAUGCGGCGCAUUAGCUUGUUGGCGGGGUAACGGCCCACCAAGGCGACGAUGCGUAGGGGUUCUGAGAGGAAGGUCCCCCACACUGGUACUGAGACACGGACCAGACUCCUACGGGAGGCAGCAGUGAGGAAUAUUGGUCAAUGGCCGGGAGGCUGAACCAGCCAAGUCGCGUGAGGGAAGACGGUCCUAUGGAUUGUAAACCUCUUUUGUCAGGGAGCAAAAACUGCCACGUGUGGCAGGAUGAGAGUACCUGAAGAAAAAGCAUCGGCUAACUCCGUGCCAGCAGCCGCGGUAAUACGGAGGAUGCGAGCGUUAUCCGGAUUUAUUGGGUUUAAAGGGUGCGUAGGCGGACAGUUAAGUCAGCGGUAAAAUUGAGAGGCUCAACCUCUUCCCGCCGUUGAAACUGAUUGUCUUGAGUGGGCGAGAAGUAUGCGGAAUGCGUGGUGUAGCGGUGAAAUGCAUAGAUAUCACGCAGAACUCCGAUUGCGAAGGCAGCAUACCGGCGCCCAACUGACGCUGAAGCACGAAAGCGUGGGUAUCGAACAGGAUUAGAUACCCUGGUAGUCCACGCAGUAAACGAUGAAUACUAAUUGUUCGGGUCAAAUGAGAUCUGAGUGAUACAGCGAAAGCGUUAAGUAUUCCACCUGGGGAGUACGCCGGCAACGGUGAAACUCAAAGGAAUUGACGGGGGCCCGCACAAGCGGAGGAACAUGUGGUUUAAUUCGAUGAUACGCGAGGAACCUUACCCGGGCUCAAACGACACAGGAAUGAUCUGAGAAAUCAGGCAGUCCUCCGGGACCUGUGUCGAGGUGCUGCAUGGUUGUCGUCAGCUCGUGCCGUGAGGUGUCGGCUUAAGUGCCAUAACGAGCGCAACCCCCAUCGACAGUUGCCAGCAGGUCAAGCUGGGCACUCUGUCGAGACUGCCGGCGCAAGCUGUGAGGAAGGCGGGGAUGACGUCAAAUCAGCACGGCCCUUACGUCCGGGGCGACACACGUGUUACAAUGGCAGGUACAGCGGGAAGCCACCUGGCGACAGGGAGCGGAACCCGAAAGCCUGUCUCAGUUCGGAUUGGAGUCUGCAACUCGACUCCAUGAAGCUGGAUUCGCUAGUAAUCGCGCAUCAGCCACGGCGCGGUGAAUACGUUCCCGGGCCU
rnacentral:rRNA from 1 species